UACAGAGGGUGCGAGCGUUAAUCGGAAUUACUGGGCGUAAAGCGCGCGUAGGCGGUUAUAUAAGUUGGAUGUGAAAUCCCUGGGCUCAACCUAGGAAUUGCAUUCAAAACUGUAUGACUUGAGUGAAGUAGAGGUGAGUGGAAUUUCCGGAGUAGCGGUGAAAUGCGUAGAUACCGGAAGGAACACCAGUGGCGAAGGCGACUCACUGGGCUUUAACUGACGCUGAGGUGCGAAAGCGUGGGGAGCAAACAGG
rnacentral:rRNA from 1 species